CAACAGGGGAUUGCCUCAGUAACGGCGAGUGAAGCGGCAACAGCUCAAAUUUGAAAUCUGCCGCAAGGCCGAGUUGUAAUUUGUAGAGGAUGCUUCUGGGCAGCGGCCGGUCUAAGUUCCUUGGAACAGGACGUCAUAGAGGGUGAGAAUCCCGUAUGCGACCGGUUGGCACCCGUCACGUAGCUCCUUCGACGAGUCGAGUUGUUUGGGAAUGCAGCUCUAAAUGGGUGGUAAAUUCCAUCUAAAGCUAAAUAUUGGCCGGAGACCGAUAGCGCACAAGUAGAGUGAUCGAAAGAUGAAAAGCACUUUGGAAAGAGAGUUAAACAGUACGUGAAAUUGUUGAAAGGGAAGCGCUUGCAACCAGACUUGCCCGCGGUCGAUCAACCGAUGUUCUCACCGGUGCACUCGACCGUGGUCAGGCCAGCAUCGGUUCUGGCGGUGGGACAAAGAUUGCGGGAAUGUGGCUCCUCUCGGGGAGUGUUAUAGCCCGUGGUGCAAUGCCACCUGCCGGGACCGAGGACCGCGCUUCGGCUAGGAUGCUGGCGUAAUGGUUGUAAGCGACCCGUCUUGAAACACGGACCAAGGAGUCUAACAUCUAUGCGAGUGUUUGGGUGUCAAACCCAUACGCGGAAUGAAAGUGAACGGAGGUGGGAACCCUUAAGGGUGCACCAUCGACCGAUCCUGAUGUCUUCGGAUGGAUUUGAGUAAGAGCAUAGCUGUUGGGACCCGAAAGAUGGUGAACUAUGCCUGAAUAGGGUGAAGCCAGAGGAAACUCUGGUGGAGGCUCGCAGCGGUUCUGACGUGCAAAUCGAUCGUCAAAUUUGGGGUAUAGGGGGCGAAAGACUAAUCGAACCAUCUAGUAGCUGGUUCCUGCCGAAGUUU
rnacentral:rRNA from 1 species